GACAUUUGUUUUGCUUAGAUUUGCUUUCAUUUGUUUAAAUAAGAUUCAGCUAAUGUUAAAAAAAGAUUGGCUUAAUCACAGAAUUAGACAUUCUAUGCUCUCAGCACUGUAAUGUUUACAUCACAGAGGCCUUAAGGUUCCAUUCCAUUGACAUAAUGAAGACUGGACACUAGUUAAAUGGAACACAAAAAGCUUUGUGAUGCAAUUAUGGCAUAAGAUAACAAGAUUCUAAAGUCACAGCUAUCCAUUUCUUAACCAUUCGUGUCUUUUUCAAAUGAUGUACAACCUGAUUUACAACUCCUUAUCCAACUACUUGAUAUUUUUCUAAGCUUUGAUUCAAUACCUUCUUGUUGAACUAUAAGGACUUCUGUCAAAACAGUUUCCUGCAUCAUCCCUCUUAAAAAUGAGUGGCAGGAGCAGAAAGAGGAAACAGUCCUCUCGACAGUCUCGACGAGCUGUUCAACUAAACAGCGGCUAUUACUUGCUGUCUAGCCAGGAUGGACCAGGGUCCUCUAUCAGUCACCACACUGAUCUACAGGACCAGUUGAGAGCUGACCCCCUCUUUCUUCUGAGGGGUGAUGUUCUCUUAAGUGAUGAUGAGGACUUAAGAUGGUCCAAGAGGUCCAGACCAAUUGAGUCCACAUUGCCAACCAAUGGCAGAAGGUCCCCACAACCAGGGACCUCACGAGACCUCUAUGCCCACUCAGAAUUGCAACAGAGAGCAAGGUCACCAUCUCCACCAAGGGCAGCCAUACCCAUUGCCACUAUUAGUGAUGGUGAAGAUACUGCACUACCAUCCGUGGCAAGGGCAAACACACCUCCAAUCAUCAUGAGUGAUGAUGAUGAUGAUGAUGAUGAAAAUGAACAAGAAAAUGUCAUUUUUGUUGGCAUGCUUCGCCCUCCUCAGGUUGAGCUUGAUUUCUUCCUAGCACGUCAAUUGGACAUAAUCGAAGCCAAUAACCGCCUCCCCAUGAAUGUCACUUAUGACCUUCCCACCAUGAUCUUCAGUGCUGAGUGCGCCAAUGGAAAGAGCGAUUGUGGGAUCUGUCUGAGCGACUAUGUGGAAGGAGAACAGCUCAUGACUCUGCCCUGCAACCACAAUUUCCACAGAAGCUGUGUGAGUCGCUGGCUUCAGCAGAGCCCCACCUGCCCCGUGUGCAGAACACAAAUUCAUUAGAGCACUGCAAACUGAGGGACUAAGAGUUUCAGCCAUGACUACUCAUCAGAAAUUCUAUUUUAAUAAAACAUCCCAAAUAGA